rfam:Salmo salar isolate Sally breed double haploid chromosome ssa01, whole genome shotgun sequence.
GCGCCACUGGUGUAGUGGUAUCAUGGAAGAUUCCCAUUCUUUCGACCCGGCUUCGAUUCCCGGUCGGGGCA